GGCUACGUAGCUCAGUUGGUUAGAGCAUCGCACUCAUAAUGCGGGGGUCACUAGUUCGAUUCUAGUCGUAGCUACCA
rnacentral:tRNA from 1 species